rnacentral:lncRNA from 1 species
UUUAAGGGCAUUACACUAUAUCUUCCAGGAUAGUCAUAAUUUAGAGAAUGUGGAUCAUAACCUCAUUUAGAACGUUAUAGAGCUUGGAUUUUAAUCUUCACUUUUGGGAGUUGAGUCAUUAGAACCUAUAUGUCUAUCAUGCUCCAUGCAUGAGACAUCAACAUUCCCAUGUCCGCGGAUUGUCCUUUUUGGGACGUGUAUCUAUGCAGCGACUGUCAUGCAACAAUUAUGCUUUGGGAAUGCAAUAGUUUAGUAGUGCCAUAUUCUUCUUCUUUCGAAUGGCUGAACCUUUUGAGUCUGAAGGUCUGCCACGCUUCGGGCGUGUAACAAAUAAUCAUUUACUGCCUCACUAUAUUGUCCAACAAGGACAUCAAUUCUUGUAGGCACAUUUGCAGCAAGUAUAUGUGAUUUCAUCACUUUCGUUGCAUCAUUAAAUGCAUCUGGCAUUUGAUUGAUACAUCGUUGCAUGAUUCAAUUAUUCUUACUUCAUUUUCAUGUUGAUUGCUUUGUGAAUCAAAAUAAGACAAAUUCUCUUCGUUCUUCUGGAACUGUCUUUUCUUAUCAUUCUUCUGGAAUGAUAUUUUCUCAUCGUUCUUCUGGAACGAUGUUAUUUUCUCCCCCUAACAGCGGGAAAAUUGUCUUAUCAAAAUGACAGUCCACAAACCACGCGGUAACCAGUCAAGAGUUCUAAAUAUUGAAUGAUAGCAAACCACGCCAUAAAUAUAUCCCAAGUCAUGGCCCACCCUAUAGCAAGCCCACAUGCUUAUUGGGUUCCCCCAUGGCCCUAGGCUCACCUGCAGCAAGCCAUGUUGCUUGCUAGGCUUCACCCAAGCCUUUGGCCUAACUGGCUA